UUUUCCUGUGCAAAGCCAGCACUUGAGCACUGAGCUGUUAGAACAGAACUUACUGCUCUUAAUGAUCAGCACAGAGCAGCUGUUCUUGGGUUCAGAUGUGACAAAGAGACGAUUUUGAACUGUAAAUAAUGCUUUUACAGUGGUAAGGUAAAAACUAGCCUUAAGUGCAGGAGACAGCUGCUGGGAGUUAUGCUAAGGUUGGAAGCCCCAUCUGUGUGCAGUCUGUCAUCAGCUCUGACCUUUAGGGGCUUGGCAUUAGUUAAAUAGUGCAACUCCAGCACCAGGAGAGCUGGCAUACCAAACAGCACUCAGCUCCUCCAGCUCUCUUAUGUGGUAAAGAUUUCUAAACCUUACAUCCUUAAUCUCCAGAAUCUGUUAUUUUCAACAGGUGAUGUGGCUGGCACUGGGCUCUUUUGCUAGCAAUUGUGCUAGGUAAUUAUGUAGAAAAUCCUCAGUAAAUUGCCCUGAUGGUCUGCCAGCCAGGAGUAAGCAGAAUGAAAACUGGCAGUCACGUUCAGGAGCUUUUGUCAGAGACAGGAUGGACAUAUUUUUUUUUAAGCUCUUUAGAUAUGAUACAACACAGAUACUGAAAUUGUAGGACCUUGCUCACAGUCUUUUGUUAUCAAUCCUUUUCAAGCAGCAGAAGCCAAUAGUUUUAUGAAGCCAUGAGUUUUAGUAGGUAAUUUAUCUGCAACAGUGCCUAUUCUGUUUGCUGUGCAUACCACCAGUUCAUCUAAGAAGCCAGCUGCGUUGCAUUACCUGUUUCCAUCCUCUCAAAUUGGAUCUCCUAACGAACCAGGCUCUCCUGGUGCCAGUUGUCUCUGCAAGGAUGGAAACUGCUGACAAAUCAAAAGUCACAGCUCAAUUAGUCUGAAAUCCCUCAUUGCACAGAUCUUAACAGCUCUCUGGAAAGAUGAGCAACUCAAGGCAUUAUGUAUUAUUAGUGCAAAUAAGAAUGAGAAGUGCCCUGCAGAAUUAGGAAAAGCUAGUCCUAAACUGCUUCCAGUUUCCCCAGUAACCUAAAGGCUAUCUGGUUAAGCAACUUCUGACAACAGCACUGUUCAUUUUAGUACUUCCUGAUACCAGCUGCUUUUGAGUGUGUAAGUUCGGCUGCAACUUCUUAGCCUGGACACACUCAGCCAGGACGUGUUACUGGAAGAGGGGAUCAGCACUGGUUGCUUCAGCGGCAUUGGCAGGUGUUCCCAUCACUGAUGCCUGUUUUCUUUGCCUCUGGAGCCAGAGAGAGAAAGCUGAAAUGGAAGUUAGGAUUGGCAAGAGAAGAGCGAGGUAUAAAAACAUGAAUCUCAGCAUUCUUACCACAGCUAUGGUUAUAGCUAGAGAUACAGCAAAGAUAAAAUAUGCAGAGUGCCUGAAGGACCUAUAUAUCCAACUGCUUCUGGAUUGCUAUCUGACAAGUUAAUUAACCACAACACUGUUGAAAUACAUACUCAGAAUCAUUGCUUGGAAUUGGACUUAGCAUUAUCUCAUCAGAGUGCCGUGGAGAGAGCAGACAGAAUCUUCAGUAAGGAAAGAAGUGAAAUAAGAGAACUGUUUUUCAACCAGAGUGAGAGCAUUCAGUCCAGUAAAUCCCUCAUUACAAGUGAUGUUCAAUAUGAUUGAGAUCCUUCCAAACCACAGUCUGGACCCUGAGCAUGACUGGAGAACUCAAGCAACAAAGGAAUUGGAAUUUUUUCUAAGACUGGUCCAGCUCAAAAUAAAUAAAUAAAUAAAUAAAAAUAAAAAAAAUCUGGUUUUUA